GAAUUUGCCCAAGUCACAAAUUGGUCUAGCUGCUGCUUGCUUGCGUGUCUUUGCAUGGCACCCUCACACCAAGUUUGCAGUGGCCCUACUAGAUGAUUCAGUCUGUGUGUAUAAUGCCAGCAGCACCAUAGUCCCCUCCCUGAAGCACCGGCUGCAACAAAAUGUGGCAGCUCUGGCCUGGAAGCCCCUCAGUGCCUCUGUCUUGGCUGUGGCUUGCCAGAGCUGCAUUCUCAUCUGGACCCUGGACCCUACCUCCUUGUCUACCCGACCCUCUUCUGGCUGUGCCCAAGUGCUGUCUCACCCUGGGCACACACCUGUCACUAGCUUGGCCUGGGCCCCCAGUAGGGGGCUGCUGCUCUCAGCUUCACCCGUGGAUGCUGCUAUCCAGGUAUGGGAUGUCUCAACAGAGACCUGUGUUCCCCUUCUCUGGUUUAGAGGAGGUGGGGUGACUAACCUGCUCUGGUCCCCAGAUGGCAGCAAAGUCCUGGCUACCACUCCUUCAGCUGUCUUUCGAGUCUGGGAGGCCCAGAUGCGGACUUGCGAGAGGUGGCCUACUCUAUCAGGGCGCUGUCAGACUGGCUGCUGGAGCCCAGAUGGCAACCGAUUGCUGUUCACCAUGUUGGGGGAGCCACUGAUUUACUCCCUGUCUUUUCCAGAAUGUUGUGGUGAGGGAAAGGGGUGUGUUGGAGGUGCGAAGUCAGCAACAAUUGUGGCAGAUCUGUCCAAGACAACAAUCCAGACACCAGAUGGUGAGGAGAGGCUUGGGGGAGAGGCUCACUCCAUGGUCUGGGACCCCAGUGGGGAGUGUCUGGCUGUGGUCAUGAAAGGAAGCCCAAGGGUACAGGGUGGUAAACCAGUCAUCCUCCUCUUCUGUACUCGAAACAGCCCUGUGUUUGAGCUCCUUCCCUGUGGCGUUAUCCAGGGGGAGCCGGGAGCCCAGCCCCAGCUCAUCGCUUUCCAUCCUUCCUUCAACAAAGGGGCCCUGCUCAGUGUGGGCUGGUCCACAGGCCGAAUUGCCCACAUCCCACUGUACUUCGUCAAUGCCCAGUUUCCACGUUUCAGCCCAGUGCUUGGCUGGGCCCAAGAACCCCCUGCUGGGGGUGGAGGCUCUAUUCGUGACCUGCCCCUCUUUACUGAGACAGCCCCAACCUCUGCUCCUUGGGGUCCUCUCCCAGAGCCACUACCUGUUCUGCCCCACUCCCCACAUUCCCACCUCUAAUAAAUUUUCCUUUUGUUUUUCAAAAAAAAAAAAAAAAAAAAAAAAA